AGUGUUGUGGUCACUUUCCUUUCAUUGGUGCCGAAACCCGGGAGAGGGUUAAAACCCACUUUUGGGUCCCUCUUCCUUCGGAAGUGCCACUCACCGGAUGGCCUGAACCCAGGCCUGAACCCAUUUUCUCGACUGCCAGAACUCCAUCCACCACCGACCUUCGAUUGUUUUUAUCUCAAACCACAGAUACCGCUUCUACAUCCAAGCGACAUGACACCAGGAUGACAUCACCCACUCUCAGUUUAUGGGUCAAGGCGAUUGCCCUUCCACUGGCUGCAAGCGGUCUGUCACCCUUAACAUUACUGGAUUCAACCAAGCCACCUCCAAUACUUCCUAGAGUCCCUGCUACAGGACCAGUGGCUGAUACCAAGAAUCUCCUCCAUCUAGGACUGGUUUGCUGCCAUCGAGGACUUGUGGCUUCAAGGAACUUUUAUGGACUUUACCCCUACCACAGUAGUUGUCUGUAGCCACUGAGUGUUAUUUCUGCCCUGGUGUUCUCAGACCUGUCCCCC